rnacentral:rRNA from 1 species
UCCGGUUGAUCCUGCCGGAGAUUACUGCUAUCAGGAUCCGACUAAGACAUGCUAGGUGAAUGCGGUUCGUCCGCAUGCCGAACAGCUCAGUAACACGUAGUUAACUUGCCCUCAGGACUGGGAUAACCUUGGGAAACUGAGACUAAUCCCAGAUAGAAAAUAGAUACUGGAAGGUUCUAUUUUCAAAAGUUCCGACGCCUGAGGAUAGGACUGCGGUGGAUUAGGCUGUUGUGGGUGUAAAGAACCCACAAACCUGUAAUCCAUACGGGCGUUGAGAGACGGAGCCCGGAGAUGCGUUCUGAGACAAGAAUGCAGGUCCUACGGGACGCAGCAGUCGCGAAACCUUUACAAUACCUGAAAGGGUGAUAAGGGGAUCCUGAGUGCUCCAGCAUUGCUGGAGCUUUUCUAGAGUGUAAAAAGCUUUAGGAAUAAGUGGUGGGUAAGACGGGUGCCAGCCGCCGCGGUAAUACCCGCGCCACGAGUAGUAAUCACGGUUAUUGGGUCUAGAGCGUUCGUAGCCGGCUUGGAAAAUUCUUGGUGAAAUUUCAUGUAAAACAUGAAAAGUGCCAGGAACACUUCCAGGCUAGGAACCGGGAAAGGCUAAGGGUACUCCGGGGGUAAGGGUUAAAUCUUGUAAUCCUCGGAGGACCACCUGUGGCGAAGGCGCUUAGCUGGAACGGCUUCGACGGUGAGGGACGAAAGCCUGGGUCGCAAACGGGAUUAGAUACCCCGGUAGUCCAGGCUGUAAACGAUGCCCGCUUGAUGUAUCGCUCCUUUCGAAGGGGUGAUGUGUCGUAGCGUAGGUGUUAAGCGGGCCACCUGGGGAGUACGGUCGCAAGACUGAAACUUAAGGGAAUUGGCGGGGGAGCACCUCAAGGAGUGGAGGCUGCGGUUCAAUUGGAUUCAACGCCAGACAUCUCACCAGAGAAGACAGCAGGAUGACGGUCACUCUGAAGGGGUUACCUGACGAGCUGAGAGGAGUUGCAUGGCCAUCGUCAGCUCGUGCUGUGAAGCGUGCGGUUAAGUCCGUUAACGAGCGAGACCCAUGCCCUUUGUUGCUACGCUAUUCUUCGGAGUAGCGGCACACUUUGGGGACCGCUGAUUAUAAAUCAGAGGAAGGAAUGGGCGACGGUAGGUCAGUAUGGCCCGAAUUCUCUGGGCUACACGCGGCCUACAAUGGCCAGGACAAUAGGUUGCAACACCGAAAGGUGAAGCUAAUCCCUGAAACCUGGUCUUAGUUCGGAUCGAGGGUUGCAACUCACCCUCGUGAAGCCGGAAUUCCUAGUAAGCGAAAGUCACUAUCUUUCGCUGAAUACGACCCUGCUCCUUGCACACACCGCCCGUCAAGCCAUCCGAGUGGAGUCUUGAUGAUGCCAUUCUUUUUUUGGGAUGGUCGAAUCAAGGUUCCGCAAGGCGGGCUAAGUCGUAACAAGGUAGCC